GGGCAGAUAAAUGGGCAGCUGGUGCAGCCCCUGCUCCCCUAGGGCACCUCCUCUGCUGUUUGCUUGGAAGAGCGGUUCUGUGCAAUGCAAGGAGAGCCUCAUCUCCACGGAGGUGGUGUUUGCUGAGGUGAAGCUCUUUUGACCUGCCUGUCAACGGCUCCAGUGGUUGUUGCUGAAUCCUUUGAUUUUGAAAAAGGAAAUUCAAAGCCAGCAAAGCGGAUCAAGAGGGCGUUCAUGAAGUGCACCAAGGAGCAGCCUAGGAUGAUCCAGAAGGAAUCUGCAAACCGUUCACUGUGAAAGAUUUGAGGGAUGUUUUUAUCUGGAAGCAUGUGGCCAAAAAGAAGAUAAAUUAAUGAGUGGAGAAGUCCUGCAAUAAGAAAGGAGGAUACCAAGAGAAAACAAGACAUGCUAAAGUGCACUUCAGUGCAUUAAAGAACAGGCGUGUACAUUGUACGUGGUGGUUCUGCUUUCUGCAUUGCUCACAGGGAGCUCCCGAGGGCUCUGGCUCAGACAGGAUGGGUCUCCUCUAGCCGCAUCCAAAUAAAAGGUCCGAGAACAACGUGUGAAGACAACAUCAGUGCUUGCCGUCAGUUGUUGGUGAGAGCAGGGAGGUGAGGCCGGGACCUGCUGCUGGGCUCACGGAGCUUUGGGGCUGUGACUGGGGAGUGGUUUGGGUGCACGCUGCCAGGGAUCUCCUCACAGCGUUACCUUUUCAUCGUGUGCUAUGUAAAGGAUUCCAGGGCAGAUAAACAACCUGCAAUGUGCUUCUAACAUUGUGUGGGACCUACUGAAGUAUUUCACUACUAACGUUUGACUUGCAUGGACGGAAAUUAAAAGGUAAAAUCCUGCCCUUAGGCAGGCUGGGCAGGCUGCUUCGGGUCUGUUGAGGCUCUUAGGUUCCCCUCAGACCUGCUCCCGCUGCUGCCCUGGGUGAUGAUCUGCUGUCAGCAGUGUGCUGGGCCGCCAGGCCCCUGGAAGGAAGCCUGCUCUCUCCAGGGAGGGAUGCUGCCCUACCACAGGCAUAUCACAGCUUCUCUUCUGGCCUGGGGGGUCUCGGCAUGAGAUUAAAUCCAGCAUUGGGUUCAGAUUCUGACAACAGACAUUAAAGCACAUGCCUUGAACCUCAGUUCUCUAAAUGAAUAAAUGACAUUUACUGAUGUUGAGUGAAUUACUCUUCCAUUUUUCUUUAUGGAAUUCCUGACAGCUUUGAAUGCCUGAUGUCUGUUUUCAGAGAACCUAUUGCUGGAAUCACCCUAGCAGUACAUUAACAUAUUUUAGCCAUAACGUGAUGAACUUAAAGCAGAAGUGAACAGACAGGAGCUUGAGUAAGGAAACGGUCUCAAGGUCUGGGAGUCUCUGCAGCUGAUAAGGAGCAGAAGCCAGCUGCCUGCCUCUGGCUCGGGCUGGCUUUCCCUGCGGGAUGGGACGCCUGGGUGGCUGCUUGGCAGUGCUGGGGCUGGGUCCCUGUCUGAGGCAGGCAGGACCCCCUGGUCCCCUCAGCGCUGGCCAGGGGCCCCAGCAGGCCUCAGCCACAGGGCUGGCAGCAGCUCACGGGAAGGGACAGCUCGACCCUCGGUAGGAAAUGAGUUCCUUGGGGCUUUGUGGACUGCUCUGAGAAGGUCCUGCAGCCGAUACCUGCAGGGCAGCGCAUCUUCCUUCACAGCCACAGUGUGCAGCGGGACCGAGAGCUUCCAGCUCGCUAAAUAGCUUAGUGAUGGGAAUUAAUUAGAGAAGGUAAGCCUUCAUAUUGUGUAAAAUGAGUCUGGUCUACUGCUUUGAAAAAACAUGUAGCAGACCAUUUAUGACACUUAAUCUGGUAACCUUACUUUGCCUUAGGUGACUCAUGUAAGCAAUUUGCCAGUGCUGCUUUAGCAGAUUGCUUCCAAAUUUUGUUUUGUAAUAAUUUCAGGUGGCAUGCAGUAUGUAUAAGAAAUGACUGUUUGUUAUCAUCUGUUUAGUGUUGCUACAUGCAAAAUGUCUUCACUUGAUCACUUCAUUGAUCUUCUUACCCUUGAAGAUGAACAGGUUAUGAAUAUUACAUGUAAAGCAAAACCACUGCGAACAGUUUCAUAAGAUUUUGAAUGUUGGUUACUAAGUUCAAUUUGCAGAUCAAUUGUCUGAAUGUCAGCUAGUAUCAACCAGAUGUUUUUCCAAUUAAUACAGCAGAUUACUAAUCUCUGGCUGUUUUGUUUCUCAACAGCAGCAAAAUUCUUCUAUCCCCCCAUUUCUUUGACAUUCCUGCUAGUUUAUUUUUCUUUUGUGACAGAGCAGAGGAUGUAAUAUUGACAUGCACAGAAAGAUGAUAAAAAUUAAUUGACAAACAAUAAUAUAUGAAAUUACUCUUUCAAAAAGAUA